UACAGAGGUCCCAAGCGUUACUGAGAAUCACUGGGUUUAAAGGGUGCGUAGGUGGUCCGUUAAGUCAGUUGUGAAAUCCCCGGGCUCAACUCGGGAACUGCUUCUGAUACUGGCGGGCUUGAGGCCAGUAGGGGUCACUAGAACUGACGGUGGAGCGGUGAAAUGCGUAGAUAUCGUCAGGAAUGCCGGUGGUGAAGACGGGUGACUGGGCUGGUUCUGACACUGAGGCACGAAAGCGUGGGGAGCGAACGGG
rnacentral:rRNA from 1 species